rnacentral:rRNA from 1 species
UACGUAGGUGGCAAGCGUUAUCCGGAAUGAUUGGGCGUAAAGCGUCCGCAGGUGGCAGUUCAAGUCUGCUGUCAAAGACCGGGGCUUAACUUCGGAAAGGCAGUGGAAACUGAACAGCUAGAGUAUGGUAGGGGCAGAGGGAAUUCCUGGUGUAGCGGUGAAAUGCGUAGAGAUCAGGAAGAACAUCGGUGGCGAAGGCGCUCUGCUGGACCAUAACUGACACUCAGGGACGAAAGCUAGGGGAGCGAAUGGG